CACUUUUUGCCAUCUUCUACGUUUUUAAGCUUGAGUAUCCAGAGGAGGCAGCAUGCACACUGGAGGUUUUUCAAAGGUGAUUCACAGGCCUCAACCCUGAAAGGGGAACAAAAGCUGCAAAAGGAAGAGUAACAUCAAAAAUGACAGGACGACUCGUGCAAAAGAAAAAGACAGCAGUGAACAAACAUGUCUCCACUCUCCUCUGCAAGUUCAUGGACUACCAGAGGAACUUCUAAAAUGCCACCCUUUGAUGAUUUCAGGAGGUGUUCAGGACUAAGCCCCACUCAGCACUCAUUCAUGUUGGUUUGGUUUGGCUGUUCACUAAGUUUUAAACUAGCUCAAAUGUUAAAGAUG